UACAGAGGUCUCGAGCGUUGUUCGGAUUCAUUGGGCGUAAAGGGCGCGUAGGCGGCGGGGUAAGUCUGGUGUGAAAUCUCGGAGCUCAACUCCGAAAUUGCACUGGAUACUGCUCUGCUAGAGGGCUGGAGAGGAGAUCGGAAUUCACGGUGUAGCAGUGAAAUGCGUAGAUAUCAGGAGGAACACCAAUAGCGAAGGCAGCUCGCUGGGACGGUACUGACGCUAAGGCGCGAAAGCGUGGGGAGCGAACAGG
rnacentral:rRNA from 1 species